rnacentral:rRNA from 1 species
AUUGAACGCUGGCGGCAUGCCUUACACAUGCAAGUCGAACGGCAGCGCAGACUUCGGUCUGGCGGCGAGUGGCGAACGGGUGAGUAAUACAUCGGAACGUACCCUGUUGUGGGGGAUAACUAGUCGAAAGAUUAGCUAAUACCGCAUACGACCUGAGGGUGAAAGUGGGGGACCGGAAACGGCCUCAUGCAGCAGGAGCGGCCGAUGUCUGAUUAGCUAGUUGGUGGGGUAAAGGCCCACCAAGGCGACGAUCAGUAGCUGGUCUGAGAGGACGAUCAGCCACACUGGGACUGAGACACGGCCCAGACUCCUACGGGAGGCAGCAGUGGGGAAUUUUGGACAAUGGGGGCAACCCUGAUCCAGCAAUGCCGCGUGUGUGAAGAAGGCCUUCGGGUUGUAAAGCACUUUUGUCCGGAAAGAAAUCGCGCUGGUUAAUACCUGGCGUGGAUGACGGUACCGGAAGAAUAAGCACCGGCUAACUACGUG